rnacentral:rRNA from 1 species
UGCCCUUCAGAGGGGGACGAACAGUUGGAAACGACUGCUAAUACCGCAUACGAUCCAACCUCGGCAUCGAGGAUGGAUGAAAGGUGGCCUCUAUUUAUAGGCUAUCACUGAAGGAGGGGAUUGCGUCUGAUUAGCUAGUUGGAGGGGUAACGGCCCACCAAGGCAAUGAUCAGUAGCCGGUCUGAGAGGAUGAACGGCCACAUUGGGACUGAGACACGGCCCAGACUCCUACGGGAGGCAGCAUG